rnacentral:rRNA from 1 species
AAAGCUCAAAUUUAAAAUCUGGCAGUCUUCGGCUGUCCGAGUUGUAGUCUAGAGAAGCGUCUUCCGCGCUGGACCGUGUACAAGUCUCUUGGAACAGAGCGUCAUAGAGGGUGAGAAUCCCGUCUUUGACACGGACUACCAGUGCUUUGUGAUGCGCUCUCAAAGAGUCGAGUUGUUUGGGAAUGCAGCUCAAAAUGGGUGGUAAAUUCCAUCUAAAGCUAAAUAUUGGCGAGAGACCGAUAGCGAA